AAGAAUAUUGUUAUACAACAGCAGCAGAAGAAGAGGAUGAAACAGAUACUUGUUUAAUGAGUGUUUCCAAAGGCGUCUUUAAAUUGAAAAAGUUACUCGAUUUUCCAUUGCCUCCACCAGUUUUCAAAUCCGUUUUAACAAAAUCAUUAAAGAGAUCCUUUGAUUUUAAUUUGUCACCUGGAUUUAUAUUUUUAAAACAAUCAAAUAUGUAUUCUGCUUUAGCUGACACUUUUUUAUCUAUAUAUACAGAGGAAUAUCGACUUCGUAUUCUGACUCACUAUCUUUGCCUAACUUCUUUUUACCUUCAAAAUCAUCUGAAAUGGAGCAAUCAAAAUUUCAUACGGGUACACCUACAUCUACGGUUUCACCUCAUACUCAAGAGUCCAAAAAAAAGAAAACAAAAGAAGAGGUACAAAAACAAUGAUUAAAACCCUUGGAGCCAAGAAGUUUGUUAAAAAUCAGUUUCCAAUGGAAGUUGGAAUAUAUGAUGUUCAAGAUGGUACCAAAGAUUCUUGAAAACCAGGAGCUUAUUAUUGCAACAAAUAAGCAACCCCAUAAUAAUUUGACAGUCAAGUAAUUAGAGACAAUUGCCGAGUAUAAAAAUUUCCUCAAAUAUUUAGAGGAUGAUUCGGUUCGACUUGAUUUGACUAUUUAAAAAUACCCUGUUGACACAGUUCAACUUAAAAGGUUCUGCUGGAAAGAUUGAUUUAUCAUCAACCAAACUAUAUGAUGUAAUAGAAGAAGUUGUAAAGAGAAGAUUUGAAAGAGUUUAAAUGCUGAUAUUAAACAGCAAAUUGGACAAUUCUGUAAAAAUGCUCUAUCGCAGAAAAAUACAAAUUAAAUGAA